GACAAGCGCAGUGCAGUUUUACACUGUUAAUGUUUGUCUUAUUUUAUUUUUUUAUAAUUAAUAUUUUUAUUGUUAUUAGAUGAUAAAACAUAAAUAGUACUUUAUGUUUGACUAAUAUUUCUUAAUUUUUUUCAUAAAUUUUUCAAAUAAGAUGGACGGUUAAACGUUGGAUACGGAUAUCCAUAGCUGCACUUAUU
rnacentral:pre_miRNA from 1 species